rnacentral:rRNA from 1 species
AUGGCGGAAAUGGUGUGUCUGAUUGCGAGCAGAGGCAAAUUGGGUCUGAAUUUAUACAUCAAGGAUGAACCCUCCACCAGAGCUCAAGAACCCAAUAUUGCUAGCUUAUACUCACCGCCUAUGGCCUUGUAUGUGGAGGUCGUAAGUGCUCAUGUCCUCAAGCCCAUGGACAGGCAAGGCUCUGCAAGUACUUUUGUUGAGGUCACCUUUGAUUAUGUCCGGUUCCGCACGGCUAUCAAGGUCAGGGAUCGUUACCCGGUGUGGAACGAGUGGUUCUACUUCAAUGUAUGGGGCCCAUCUUCUCUUUGUAAUCUUGAUAUUAAAGCAUUCGUCUACCAUGUCCACAGUUCGUCCAAACGUUCCAAUACCUUACUUGGCAAGGUCAAAAUUUCUGGGACCAAAUGCAGGCAUCUCCACGGAGACAAGGUAACUUAUCCAUUAGAGAAGCCUACAGUGUUGUCGUACGUGCAAGGGGAUUUGAGUCUAAAAGUAUACACCAUUGAUAACCCUUCCAUGGGAAUUACAACCCCUGCUCCGCUCAUGGAUGGUGUAAUAUUGCACAACCAGAGUUCAAGACCACAUCAUUUUGCAUUACAAUAUUUGAAAAAAAUCACAAAUAACUUCUCCGAAGAGAGAUUAAUUGGCCAAGGUGGUUCUGGUGUGGUAUAUAAGGGUGUGGUUCAAAAUGGAGAUAUUAUUGCUGUGAAGAAGAUCUUGCCGUCAUUCAUGCCAGGCGAGCAGAAGCAAUUUGAGAACGAGAUCAGUCAUCUCACGAUGCUUGACCACUCCAAUAUAGUGCGGGUUGUAGGCUACUGCUAUGAAGUAAAGAAAGAACUUAUAGAAUACGAUGGGAGAAAUGUUUUUGCAGACAUGGAGGAAAAGUUAGUUUGCUUCGAGUAUCUACCCAAUGGAAGUCUUGAUAACUAUAUAUCAGAUGAAUCGACUGGACUUGAUUGGAGCACACGUUAUAAUAUUAUCGAGGGGAUCUGCAAGGGUUUAAUUUACCUUCACGUGCAAAAUGAUAAGCCUAUUAUUCACUUUGACCUUAAACCUGCAAACAUAUUGCUCGGCAAAGGUAUGAUACCAAAAAUUGCAGACUUCGGUCUGUCAAGACUGCAUGAUCAACAACAGUCAAUUUACACAACAUCCCGUCUUGGAACACGUGGUUACAUGGCACGGGAGUUCGUGGAUGAAGGAAAAAUUACACUACAGUUAGACAUAUUCAGUUUGGGUGUAAUAAUUUUGGAGGUAGUAAUAGGACAUAGGCACUACCCGGACGUUAUUACAGAAACAUCUUCGGAUGAUUUUAUCAAGCUUGCGCUUGAGAAAUGGAGAAGUGUACAAAGGUCACCGGGGAAUGAAUCCGAAAAACCAGACUACGAAGAAAUAAAGAGAUGCCUACAGGUCGGUCUGUUGUGUGUAAAUCAUGACCACGCCAAGAGACCACCGAUAACGAAGGUUAUGAAUAUGCUCCAAGGAUCAGAAAUUAUUGACUCCAACAUCAGCAAUGGGGAAGCAGCGUAA